rnacentral:tRNA from 1 species
GUAGCUCAGAGCUUAAAGCGUCUGCCUGCAAUGCAGGAGACCUGGGUUUGAUCCCUGC